UGGGGAAUAUUGCACAAUGGGCGAAAGCCUGAUGCAGCGACGCCGCGUGAGGGAUGACGGCCUUCGGGUUGUAAACCUCUUUCAGCAGGGACGAAGCGCAAGUGACGGUACCUGCAGAAGAAGCACCGGCUAACUACGUGCCAGCAGCCGCGGUAAUACGUAGGGUGCAAGCGUUGUCCGGAAUUACUGGGCGUAAAGAGUUCGUAGGCGGUUUGUCGCGUCGUUUGUGAAAACCAGCAGCUCAACUGCUGGCUUGCAGGCGAUACGGGCAGACUUGAGUACUGCAGGGGAGACUGGAAUUCCUGGUGUAGCGGUGAAAUGCACAGAUAUCAGGAGGAACACCGGUGGCGAAGGCGGGUCUCUGGGCAGUAACUGACGCUGAGGAACGAAAGCGUGGGUAGCGAACAGG
rnacentral:rRNA from 1 species